UAUGAGAACACUAAGCUCAGUAACAACAGCAACAACAACCAAAAGAUCACUUUUAGUUUCCAGUUUCACUAAAAUACCUUUUCUGCUCUCUAUGUCCAUCCUGUGCCCUUCAAUAUGUAGUUAAUUAUAUCUUUUGCUACUGAAAGAUGCCACGUUGGUACAGAUUCACAGAAUUGAGUUUUAGAUCAUCUAAAUCUAUCAGACUCCUGGAGAUGCCUGGAUUCUGCAAGUUGUUUAAGAGAGAAUUGCUGUGGUCAACCAACCUCUCCCUAAUCCAAAAGGAUGAGAAAGAAAGAAUAUUCUAGUGAUGCUGCAUGACUGCGAAACAUACAAGCAAAGCCAGAAGAAAUGCACAAGGAAUCAGAAUCUACUGGAUUUCUAGGGAUACUUCAUAAAGACAUUGAAAAGUGCGUGUGGUGCAGCUCAACAUUUAAGAAGUUCUAUGCGGACCUGUAGAUAUCCUGUAUGUCAAAGAAGAACUCCAGAGAUCUAAGUGCAUUGUAACCCAAAACAGCAAUGAGUGAGCUAAAAAUGAGUAAAGAGUGACACAUUUAAUUUGAAGCCCUGUUGUGCAGUGCCACUGAACCAACUGCUGCAAACAACAGGUCUGGCACUUGGGUCCUUCAGAUAUCCAAGAUCUGCCUACCUACUCAAUGAGGCCCAAGACAUGUUCAAAUCAGAGAAAAAUGUGACAUUUAAACAUAUGAAUGGCAUAAUAAAACCUGCUAUUGCACCACUAGGAUGCUUGUUUUCUGUUACUAAUAACCAGCUCAACCUGUAUAUUUGUAGAGUUACAUGCCCUCCUAGAUCUUAAUAUAACUUGUCCCAUUCAGAUAGGAAUCAGCCAGUUGCUUUUUUCAUUAUUCUCUCCUGAAACAAAACUUCACUGCAGAGACAUGAACGUUAUAGUCUCAAGGUUAGUAUAAACAUGCGAAGUCAGACUUCAGUCAACUGACCCAAUGGGAAAUCGCUAUUGGGAUAGUUCUCUCUCUGGAAGACGGAUCAGGAAAUACUGUACCCUUGUUCUGCUCUUUAUUCUUCUCUAAGGAUUCUGUUCACUGCUCCUAAAGAAAAUAUAUUGAGCUAUAUGGAUAAAGGGUACUGAAAGCACAUCAACAGUCUUCUCUCUUUAAUAACUUUGUUUUCUUGCUAUACAGUAGAAUAGCAUAAAUGGUUCUCUUUUAAAAAUCUUACUAUCUUAAAGUGCAUCUGUAUGUUUUGGGAAAAGAAUAAACCUUGAGACAACAAGGACUGCUUCUGCACAUUGUGUUGCACAUUUAAUGGGUCCUGAAAUUACGCCUUGAAAUCAGCUGGUUCAGCAAAUGAGCUGAAAAAACUUGAAUGCAGUUAAACAUGGAGAUGUGGGAAAAAGGUAAGGUAAAAGAGGGGAGGAAUAGACAUCUGAGGCAGAAAGAAGGAGGACUGUAGAAAUAAGAGAAGGUAGGGUGGGAAAACAGCCUUAUUAGGAAAAAAAAGGAGGAAGAAAGGCCUAAGAGAAUGUGAAACAUCUAUUUAUGAGUGUAACAAAGAAGUAAAUAAAUACAAAGGGAGAAAAAAU
ensembl:lncRNA